rnacentral:piRNA from 1 species
UAGCAUGUACCGAAGGCACAAAACCUCC